rnacentral:rRNA from 1 species
UGGGGAAUAUUGGACAAUGGGCGAAAGCCUGAUCCAGCCAUGCCGCGUGUGUGAAGAAGGUCUUCGGAUUGUAAAGCACUUUAAGUUGGGAGGAAGGGCAGUAAGCGAAUACCUUGCUGUUUUGACGUUACCGACAGAAUAAGCACCGGCUAACUCUGUGCCAGCAGCCGCGGUAAAACAGAGGGUGCAAGCGUUAAUCGGAAUUACUGGGCGUAAAGCGCUCGUAGGUGGUUCGUUAAGUUGAAUGUGAAAGCCCCGGGCUCAACCUGGGGACUGCAUCCUAAACUGGCGAGCUAGAGUAGGGCAGAGGGUGGUGGAAUUUCCUAUGUAGCGGUGAAAUGCGUAGAUAUAGGAAGGAACACCAGUGGCGAAGGCGACCACCUGGGCUCAUACUGACACUGAGGUGCGAAAGCGUGGGGAGCAAACAGG